AUUGAACGCUGGCGGCAGGCCUAACACAUGCAAGUCGAACGAGUGGCGGACGGGUGAGUAAUGUCUGGGAAACUGCCUGAUGGAGGGGGUUAAAUACUGGAAACGGUCGCUAAUACCGCAUACCAUCGGAUGUGCCCAGAUGGGAUUGGCUUGUUGGUGUGGUAACGGCUCACCAAGGCGACGAUCCGUAGCUGGGCUGCGAGGAUGACCGGCCACACGGGAACUGAGGAACGGGCCUGACGCCUAGGGUGGGCAGCGGUGGUGAAGAUGGCACAAUGGGCGCAAGCCUGAUGCAGUCAUGCCGCGUGUAUGAAGAAGGCCCUAGGGUUGUAAAGUACUUUCAGUCGGGAGGCGGUACCGACAGAAGAAGCACCGGCUAACUACGUGCCAGCAGCCGCGGUAAUUC
rnacentral:rRNA from 1 species